GAUGAACGCUGGCGGCGUGCCUAAUACAUGCAAGUCGAGCGAACAGAUGAGGAGCUUGCUCCUCUGACGUUAGCGGCGGACGGGUGAGUAACACGUGGAUAACCUACCUAUAAGACUGGGAUAACUUCGGGAAACGGGAGCUAAUACCGGAUAAUAUAUUGAACCGCAUGGUUCAAUAGUGAAAGUCGGUUUUGCUGUCACUUAUAGAUGGAUCUGGGCCGCAUUAGCUAGUUGGUAAGGUAACGGCUUAUCAAGGCGACGAUGCGUAGCCGACCUAAGAGGGUGAUCGGCCACACUGGAACUGAGCCGCGGUCCAGACGCCUGCGGGAGGCAGCAGUAGGGAAUCUUCCGCAAUGGGCGGAAGCCUGGCGGAGCAGCGCCGCGUGAGUGAUGAAGGUCUUCGGAUCGGAAAACUCUGUUAUUGGGGAAGAACAAAUGUGUCAGUAACUAUGCACGUAUUGACGGUACCUAGUCAGAAAGCCACGGCUAACUACGUG
rnacentral:rRNA from 1 species